UAUAUGUGCUACAAUAUAUUAAUUAUAUAUUUUAGUAAGAGAAAUAGAUAUAAUAAGUAUAUAAAUAUUUUUCUAAAAUUUAUAAAAGUAUUAAAUUUGUAGAGUAGUUUCUAAUCAUAUGAAAACCGUGAAAAAACAGAAACCGACCCACGGUUAACCGAACCGAAAAAAAUCGUUUGAAACAGUUCGGUUACGGUUUCUACCUAAAAACCGAACCGAACCGAAAUACACGGUUCGGUAAUAGUUUUAGGUAGAAACCGAGCCGAACCGACCCGUGCACACCCUUAGUGAGAGACAUUCAACAAACAUUAAAGCCUCCAUCUUAAAAUUCAAACAUAACUUAAUAGCGUUGAAAGUUAAUUUAAACUUAUUCUCAUAAUCGAGAAUGUUUAUGUAUUUAAUUAUUUAAUUGAUUUUUUUUCAUUUGGUUGUUCAGUUACAAAUUUUGACAGAGUCAAAUAAUAAAAUAGAAUAUUAACCCGAAGUAUAUUUGCGUUCUUAUCAUUUGCUAUCCUAAUAAUUGCGGCUGAGCAAAAAAUCAAACUAAAAUCAAAAUCAAUAAAAAUCGACACAAACCAAACCACAUAAUAUUGAAUCCGAACCGAAAUUGAAUAUUCGAAAUCCAACUGAUUGCAAUGGUUGUGAUUCUGAUAUUAAGUUAAAACCGAAGCCGAACUGAUUAUUAAACUAAAUAAAUAAUAUCAAUUAUUAUAUAUUUACACACAUAUAUACAAAAUUUAUAUCUCAUAUAUUAUAGGUAAUUAAAUAAUAUUUUUAAUAUAUAUAUAUAGGCUUAAAUAAGUUUGAUUUCUAUUCGAGUUUUGAGAUGUUGUCCGAACUUAUUCCUCGUAAACAUUUAACUGAUGAUAUAAAUUUGAUAGUAUUCCAGGAUAAACUUGAGACUACACACACCAGACUAUCUCUAAGCUGAAAUACCAAUAGCUGAAACAGCGAAUACACUCUUUUUAAUCUAGUCAAACUGAAUUACUAGCUAAAUAGCAACUACAACUUACAAUUAUAGUGGCAACUUUUUUUUCUUUUUGCGAUUUUCAAAUUGAAAAUGAACGGAUAGAAACCGAACUGAGAUUUUAAAACCGAAACUGACCGUUUAGUUAUGGUUGAGAUUUUCGAUUAUUAAAAUCGAUGAUUCUGAUUUUAUCGAAAACCCAAACCGAAUCAAAUUUUUUUGCUCUAUCUGCUGAUAACAGUGAACUAGAAAGACGCAUUCUAACAUGUUUAAAUUUCUGGCUAAUCAUGAAAUUUUAUAAUUACUCCAGUUGAUGCUUUUAAUAAUUAAAUUAAUAAAAAGCCACCAAGAAUGGUGAUAAGGUAGCAAAGUUAGUUGAGAAUUAUUGUUGGUAAUAAGGAAUAAUCGGGCCUCGAUGUCUCCUAGUCAAUGUCCGAAUCUUUCACAUAAGAUUAUCUUGAGAUUUUGUGGUACGAAAAUUUAACACGAUAACUCAUUCUAAUGAAAAAGAGAGAAACGUGUUGUCUGGGCUGAGAAGAUGACUAGCUAAUGGAUAUUGUUAAAUGCUCUCCAAUCGAUUUCAUUCUCGAGCUUAUCCUCUUUUUUCCUCUUCCAAGUAUUUUUAUGCAUGUGAUAAUCGCCAAGUCAAAAGCACCGUUUCUACUCGGAUAACACUCUCUUGCUUGGAAAAUUCGGUCCAACCGAUCUUAUCUCAGAAUUAUUGGACUAGAUUAAAAAUUUUAGAUUUUUACAAAAUAACAAUAAUUUCACUAGUUUUCCUUCCAUUUUUAAAGAAAGCGGUGGCCGUUAAGUAUUAAAAAUUAAAUGCUAAAUUGCGGGAUGAUUAUUAAAGUUUUCAAAUUCUUAUAGAAUUUUUUUUAUAAUUGACCAAUAUCUUGUUGAUAUGAGAAAAUUUUAGCCAAUAAUUUGUAAAUAUUAGAAAAUUUGAGUCAAUAUCUUGAAAUUAUUCUCUUAUUUUUAACACUUAAACGUAUAUGAUUAACGAGAGUUGACGGACGCUACUUUUUCAAAAAACUGAACAAAAGACCGAUCAAAUUUUUGUUAUUUGGAAAAGAGAGCUUAUAUACUAUAUUAUUUUUCCAGAAAUGAUCCCAAAUGGGUGAUUCAGAUGAUUUUAUUGGCGAGAUUGAUGUUAAUUUAAUUAUAGAUGUUUUUUUUUGAAACUUAAUUAUAGAUGUUUAUUUAAUCAAGAUUAGAAUUAAUACAGUAGUUUUUUAUUAAUUUUAGCUAAAAUUUGUACUAAUGUGAAAUGAGAUCAUCUUAGCCGGCCCCGACAAAAAAAAAGAAAAGAAAUUAUACCAGAAUUAUGCUCUUUAAAUUAUUGAAUAUGUUAUGGCACAGAUUUGAGCAACCAGAAGAAAAGUUAGACUACAGGAGUCAACAAAGUUGUGUUGGAUGCACAUCUGGAUACAACUUAUCCAUGGAAACUUCAUGUGGCCACAAAUCAUCUUGUCUGUGUCUGCAUGCAAAGCAUCUUCUCAACUCCUUCAUCUCCUCAUCUACUACAAGUAUAUAAACAACUUUCCAAGAAUAUAAAAUUCACACCUCUGUUUACUUUUCUAAUUACUUGCUCAUCUUUUCCUCUGUUUAUUUAUUUAUUCAUCAUGGUGCUUCCAAUGGAAAAUAAUUUAGGCAGCAGACAGGGUUUUCAAGAUUUUGCAUGCUCUCAGCAACUGUGGUUAUCUGGAGAGAUUAAGGAGAGAGAUCAGGGUUUUGUUAUCAUGGAGGGAGAGAUAUAUGAUGCUAAUAGUAGCAGAACCUCCCCUUCUUCUUCUUCUUCUGUUGGGGAGGAUUCAUCAGCUUUGGAUGGUUCUUUGACUUCUUUGGAUACAGAAGAUGAUGCAUCUUCAGCUUCUGGAAAUUCUAGUGGAUCUUUGUUUGAUUUGACAGACCUUAUUCCCCAGUUACCCCUCAAGAAAGGAUUAUCCAAGUUCUAUCAAGGGAAAUCACAAUCUUUUACCAACCUUUCAAGAGUAAAGAGCAUAGAAGAUCUUCCUAAGAUAAGAAGCCCCUACAACAACAGAAAGAAGCUGAUGAAGUCAAGCAUGAGCUAUGGUGGUGGACUAAACAACUUUAAAUUACAUACUCUCCCGAAGCCUGUUAUAUCCAAGAAUAUUUCGAGAGGAUAUGGUUCUUCUUCCUUUACAGAUAUAAGGAAAAGUUAUCAGCAUAAUAGCAAUCAAGGUCCUGUAGGUUUCUCUAAGGAACAAAUGAUCUAAACCGCGGAGAGGAGACGAGGAAACGUUAUAGUGAACCAAUUAUACUGGUUAGAAAGAUUGAACAUAUGUAUCAUAAGAUGUGAGCUACUGGAAUCUGUUGUAUCAUAGAUGAAAUUAUUUGAUUUAAUACUAUAUAUCUCUGUUCAGAUA